GACGUAGGGCGCGAGCGUUGUCCGGAUUUAUUGGGCGUAAAGAGCUCGUAGGCGGCUUGUCGCGUCGAAUGUGAAAUCUCAGGGCUCAACUCUGACAUUGCAUUCGAUACGGGCAGGCUAGAGUGCGGUAGGGGAGACUGGAAUUCCUGGUGUAGCAGUGAAAUGCGUAGAUAUCAGGAGGAACACCGAUGGCGAAGGCAGGUCUCUGGGCUGACACUGACGCUUAUGCACGAAAGCGUGGGGAGCAAACAGG
rnacentral:rRNA from 1 species